UAACGUCUUUGAUUAACAAGCGUGCUGACGAUGGCACUAUUUUUUCUUUUUUUAUUUACCUCCUCAUCCGGUCCUGUCUGCUCACUGCGGCCACUAGCCACUAGCUGCUGCCCUCUUCCAACCCGGCGCAGAGACGAACAGCCCGGCUCGAGGCCUGCUAGCCGCCAGCUGCUAUCUCUCCAAUGUCUCUACCCGGGCUUGGCCUUACUCCGUUUGCUCUCUCCAUUCUUCUGUAGACCAGUCAUUAACAGCUAGCAGCUAGCUGCUGCAUCUCUGGUCCUCCGCUAAUACUCCGCUCUUCAACUCAGGAAUAUUACCUGCCAAUUUACUCCAAACUGCCUCGCUGAAAUUAAAUCCCUCGGAAUCCUGCGUCAUCCUCGAUAUGUGCACAGAGCAGCCCAACUCAACUUUGUUUAUUCCAACCAUGCUAUGGCCACAAUACUGCAACCUUCAUGUUACAAAAUGCACGUUCGCUCAACAAUAAAGCACUGC